rnacentral:rRNA from 1 species
UCCAGACUCCUACGGGAGGCAGCAGUGAGGAAUAUUGGUCAAUGGGCGCGAGCCUGAACCAGCCAAGUAGCGUGAAGGAUGACUGCCCUACGGGUUGUAAACUUCUUUUAUAAAGGAAUAAAGUGAGGCACGUGUGCCUUUUGUAUGUACUUUAUGAAUAAGGAUCGGCUAACUCCGUGCCAGCAGCCGCGGUAAUACGGAAGAUCCGAGCGUUAUCCGGAUUUAUUGGGUUUAAAGGGAGCGUAGAUGGGUUGUUAAGUCAGUUGUGAAAGUUUGCGGCUCAACCGUAAAAUUGCAAUUGAUACUGGCAGCCUUGAGUACAGUUGAGGUAGGCGGAAUUCGUGGUGUAGCGGUGAAAUGCUUAGAUAUCACACAGAACACCGAUUGCGAAGGCAUCUCACGAAUCCGCGAUUGACGCUGAUGCACGAAAGCGUGGGUAUCAAACAGGAUUAGAUACCCCCGUA